UACAGUAGCCGAGCGACCAA
rnacentral:misc_RNA from 1 species